rfam:Bacillus beveridgei strain MLTeJB, complete genome.
GAGUUCCUGUGGUGUUCGUUAAAAACUUAACGUUUUGAGCCAACACUUAUACAUCGGGAGCCUGAACCUUGAGUUUCAGCAACAAUAACAUGCCCCGUAAAUGGGGAAGUUAGCGGUGCUGAACAGGGCACCCACCUGCCAAUGCAGGUUCAAACCAAGGUCAAUGGACGGCAUUCACGGGACUCUU